GGGAUCGAAGAUGAUUAGAUACCAUCGUAGUCUCAACCAUAAACUAUGCCGACUAGGGAUCGUCCGAUGUCUGUUUCUAGAUUCGGGCGGCACCUCAUGAGAAAUCAAAGUCUUUGGGUUCCGGGGGGAGUAUGGUCGCAAGGCUGAAACUUAAAGGAAUUGACGGAAGGGCACACCAGAAGUGGAGCCUGCGGCUUAAUUUGACUCAACACGGGAAAACUUACCAGGUCCAGACUUCGCAAGGAUUGACAGAUUGAGAGCUCUUUCUUGAUUCGAAGGGUGGUGGUGCAUGGCCGUUCUUAGUUGGUGGAGUGAUUUGUCUGGUUGAUUCCGUUAACGAACGAGACCUCGGCCUACUAAAUAGUGGCAUCCAUUUCACGAUGGGUUUCGUCGCUUCUUAGAGGGACAAUUCGGUUUUACCGGAAGGAAGUUCGUG
rnacentral:rRNA from 1 species